rnacentral:rRNA from 1 species
GUUUCCUACGGGACGCAGCAGUGGGGAAUAUUGGGCAAUGGGCGCAAGCCUGACCCAGCAACGCCGCGUGAAGGAAGAAGGCUUUCGGGUUGUAAACUUCUUUUCUCAGGGACGAAGCAAGUGACGGUACCUGAGGAAUAAGCCACGGCUAACUACGUGCCAGCAGCCGCGGUAAUACGUAGGUGGCAAGCGUUAUCCGGAUUUACUGGGUGUAAAGGGCGUGUAGGCGGGAAAGCAAGGCAGAUGUGAAAAACAUGGGCUCAACCUGUGGCCUGCAUUUGAAACUGUUCUGUUUGAGUACUGGG